UAAAACAAAUAAAAAUACAUGUGAUUUGGAGGUCACGAAAUAAAAAUACACGUAAUUACAAGUUUGGGGUAAUUUUGGAUGAAAUUUUCAGAGCACAUAUGACUUUUUAAUGAAUUUAUGAAGUAGUCCAAUUAAAAAUAGACAAGUGGCGCCUUGCUAAUGGAUCAUUUCAAAAAGGAAUUAAAAUGAGAAGUGCUGGAUUAUAACCCCAAACACGCUGAGUCUUUCUUCUGCAGCAAACAUAACCUCUGCAUUUCGUUGCUGUGGCCUUUCGUCGAGCACCUUGCGUGUAUCUCUUGGGGUCGUCUUUCUGCUCGAAAUGGGGUCUGCUCAGGCCUCCACAGGCUGUCCAUAGCCAUUUUUUGGGCCAGUUCGUGGGGUCAAGAGACCCCUAUUGUCCCUUCCCGACACCUCUCCCCCUCCGCCUUUCCCUUAGCUCUCUCUCUCUCUCUUCCCGUCUAAAAGAAACACAAACAUAAAAAAUCAAUCAAACCAAGACAUCAAGAAUCAAACACAGCUCCAUCAAACCCAAACAUGGAAAAUCAAUUAAAUCCAAAAAUCAAUCAAACUCAUCUCAGCUUCUCCAUUUUUCACAUAUUUCGCAGGAGAUGGAAGUUUUCAUCAGAUCAUGGCUGCAAUUUUGUGUGCAUCUGCUCCAUUUGGAUUUAGUAGAAGGGCAACAACUAGAGAAUUAGUACAAGCCAUAACAAAUAAUAGUUGAAGUUUAAUGAAUCAAAGGUGAAUCAGAUUUGGGGAAAUAGAAGAAAUCAAAUAAAUUUGGGAUUUCUAAGAAGAGGGUUCUCAAGAUUCAAGCAUGUGAAUAAGAGAAAUCAGUCACUAUGUUAGAAAUGAGACAAACAGAAAGAAAAUGAACUAGAGAGAAGGGAAGGUGAGGGUUUAGGAAGAAGGGAAAGGAGCAUCGUGAAAGAGGCGCGUCAAUUUUUCCCCUUGCUUUUAACCUGUUAACCAACACAACCGUUUUCCUUUGUUUUAAAAACACCCCACGUGACUGGCAUGUGAGUGGCUGCACCGGUACAGCUGAUGUACCACAGAAUUUUGGGACUAAGACAGUAGAAAUGAACACCAAUAGGACUCCAUGUUUUCUCUAGGUUAGGGUUUAGGGUUUCUCUUCUCUGUCUUUCCUCUCCUCCUCCUGUGACGACGAGACAGCGCGACGAACAAGACUCCUCUCCUCUCAGGCGCUGCUCCAUCUCAGCUAGCUCCCUUUCUCAUAUCAAUAUCAGCGAAAUUGAUGAGAACUCUGGCCGAAUAACCGAAGAGAUAGAGAAGUGCAAAGAGCAGAGUCUUGAGAAGAAGAGUGGCUUAGAGGAAGUCAAAGAACAAGUUAAGAAAGCUGCUUAUGCCGUUUUAGAGAAGCUCAACAACAGAGCAUAGAAUGUAUAGGUGCUGUGUUCAGUUUAGCGCAGAUAAUUGCAUAACAAAGCCCAUCACUUCUCUGGGUUGAUGUGUUUGUGAGAAUACAACUUCGGUCUUAAUAUCUCUCCAGCUCUUCUUGCGUUCCUCAAUCGUUUCUCAGUUCAUACAGUGAAUUUGACUCUCGAG